rnacentral:rRNA from 1 species
AAUCAACGCUGGCGGCGUGCCUAACACAUGCAAGUCGAACGAGAAAGGGGGCUUCGGUCCCUGAGUACAGUGGCGCACGGGUGAGUAACACGUGACUUAUCUACCCUCGAGUGGGGAAUAACUUCGGGAAACCGAGGCUAAUACCGCAUAAUACCCACGGGUCAAAGGAGCAAUUCGCUUGAGGAGGAGGUCGCGGCCGAUUAGCUAGUUGGCGGGGUAAUGGUCCACCCAAGACGGUGAUCGGUAUCCGGCCUGAGAGGGCGCACGGACACACUGGAACUGAAACACGGUCCAGACUCCUACGGGAGGCAGCAGUGGGGAAUUUUGCGCAAUGGGGGAGACCCUGACGCAGCAACGCCGCGUGGAGGAUGAAGUCUCUUGGGACGUAAACUCCUUUCGAUCGGGACGAUUAUGACGGUACCGGAAGAAGAAGCCCCGGCUAACUUCGUG